UGCCAGCAGCCGCGGUAAUACGGAGGGUGCAAGCGUUGUUCGGAAUUAUUGGGCGUAAAGCGCACGUAGGCGGAUCAGAAAGUUGGGGGUGAAAUCCCGGGGCUCAACCCCGGAACUGCCUCCAAAACUCCUGGUCUUGAGUUCGAGAGAGGUGAGUGGAAUUCCGAGUGUAGAGGUGAAAUUCGUAGAUAUUCGGAGGAACACCAGUGGCGAAGGCGGCUCACUGGCUCGAUACUGACGCUGAGGUGCGAAAGUGUGGGGAGCAAACAGGAUUAGAUA
rnacentral:rRNA from 1 species